rnacentral:lncRNA from 1 species
ACCAUAGAGCCUCACAUGGGGUAUUCACAAAAUAUUUUUUCAAUAAAUGAAUAAAGAAUUUCCUUUUUAAAGAUUAGAAAAAAACUAAAGCUCAAGUAGGCUAGAUAGCUUGACUCAUGUCAUACAACUAGUAGGAGGAGACUCAUGUCUGAAUAAAAUGUCUUUGGGAGUAUAUAUGCCCACUCACUCAAACUCGCAAACAUUACAUUAUUGUGAAGAUGGGAACUGGCUGGAGGGAGUUAGGGGCACGGGUAAAUGUCGGACAUUUCCUAUGUGCCGUUUCAUAUUUUUUGAGAUAUUCAGUGUUUUGUUUUGUUUUGAUCUUUUUAGGGCCACACCUGUGGAGGUUCCCAGGCUAGGGGUCAAAUUGAAGCUGUAGCCACAAGCCUACACCACAACCACAGCAACGCCAGAUCUGAGCCGCCUCGGCAACCUACACCACAGCUCACGGCAAUGCUGGAUCCUUAACCCACUGAGCAAGGCUAGGGAUCAAAUUGCAUCCUGAUGGAUGCUAGUCAGAUUUGUUUCCUCUGAACCAUGAUGAGAGCUCCCUAUUUUUUUUGAGCUAUUUGAAUACAUUACAUAGUUCAAAAAAGCACAUAAAACAUUUAACUCACCACUUGGAAGACUGACAUAUAAAACACCAAAGGCAAGCGCAAAAUUCCUUUAAAAUGUAAAUUAUAUAAGUAAAUGUGGGUUAAUACAAUUACACAAAGCACAAUUCUUGAAAUACGUCUUGAGACAAUUAUGAUUCGAAAAUAAUAGACUGGGAGGAAACCUCAAAUGUAACCACAAAAGCUUAGGUGGAAAAUCAUAAGGAAGAAGAUAAGCAAUGUGCUUACUCUAUAGUUUCUCAAUUUCUCCUGGAUGGCAACCUCUCUGGAUGGUGUUUCCGAAGAUGGUACAUUGAUUCAUAGGCACCUAACUAUCUUAUUUAAAUGUAUAAACAAUCUCUGAGAGCACUGAAAAGUUUCUACUCUUGUGGACAAUAAAAAACAAAGCAUAACAGAAAAUACCAUGGAAGAAAUUCAUAUGUCAUACGCACAAUAACCCCAUAGGGGUUCAUAACUAAAUUCCAGUUCAUGUUAAUAAAUUGUCCAAAAUAACUCAAAACUUUGUAAUAAUGAGCAAAGAUAUAAUUAGCAUAUGUAAGCAAAAAAGUAGGGGGGAUUUGUAAUAUCAAAAUGACACAAAAUAUAGGUUUGGAAAAGAUUCAUUAAAGGGGAAGAUGGUCCUUUUAAAAUUAUAAACAAGUUCUAAAUAAGCCUUUCUAUUUCACUGACAUAACUUCAGAAUACCUGAAGAAAAUAUCGCAGGAACUGAAAUGAGAAACAGAUGGAAGAGCAACGGGAGAGAGAGAAUUUAAGAGGUAAUAUUUUUGUCCUUGAAAUAUCAUAUAUAUAAAAGUUGUUACUACAUGAAAAUCUAAACAAUAGUGUCCAAGAAUGAUAUAUUCAAGUCAGUAAAUAAACAUAUAGGCUAAAAGCUAUAUUCUAUAAAAAGAGAAUAUAUUUUCAAUGGCCCCAGGAGCAUUUUACAAAAAAAUAUAAUCACAUAUUAGCCAAAAAAGAAAUACUCUUUUCAUUUCCAAGGAGGAAAAAUAGUUUAGAUCAUAUUCUUAAACCACAAUCUAAUAAAGUAAAAAUAAAUGUCAAAAUUAGAAACAAAACUCCAAAGCAUUUGACAUUUUAAUGCCAUUCUUUUCUAAAGAACUCUUAGAGCAAAAGGAACUAAAAAAAACAGAAUUGCACAGUGUUUAUAAAAUAGUGAUAAUAACAGAGCCUCAAUAUUUUUAUUACAAAAAUAAUGAAAAUUAUAAACAAAAUCCAUAAGUGAUUAAAAAAGACACAUGGUGAACCCAAGGAACACUAAUGGAAAGAAAUUAAUGGGGAUGAAAACAUAAAUAAAUUAAUUAGGAAACAGAGAAAAAUGUUAAAUUUCCAACAGCUUAUUCUUAGGGAAAAAAAUUUGAACUACUCACUUGCCCAUUCAAGAGAAAAAGAGAAAAUGAAGCAUAAACAUAAGAAUAUUAGAUGGGAGAAAACUAAAUAUUUAUGACAUAGGGAAUUUUAAGAUAAUAUUUUACUAUUUUACCCAUCUGUGUUAAUAAAUUGAUCAAGAUAGAUAAGUUAUACUAAAAUUAAACCAUCUAAAAAGGAUCUAAAUAUGGAAAGAAAAUACAAAACAAAAAUACAAAUAACCAGAGGUAAAAACUCACAAGGUUGCCUGAGUUAUACUUAAAAAUAUCACCAGGUUCAGAUGAUUGAAUGCCUGAACUUUAUCAAUCCAGUCACAGAAUAUCUAAUUUUAAUGUCAAAUGAAUGAAUCCAGAAAAAAAGCCAAAAAAAUCUGCUUUCUAUUUAUUGUUAUGACGUCAUGUGCCUAAUAUGCAAAAUUCGGCAAAUACAGCACAACUCUAAAGACAUAUUCAAAAACACACAUAAUAAAGCUAUGUAUUAAAUAUAACUCAAUAUGUCUCCUUUAGAGUUUAUCCCAAGAGGUGCAAAUAUGGUUUAAUCUGAGGAAUCUUAUUAGUAUAAUUCAGUACAGUUAAUUUAAGAAUAAAAGCCAUGUAAUUAUUUUGAUAGGAAAAAACUUUGGAUAAAAUUCCAACUUUUUUUCUGAUAAGCUUUUAUAUAUACAUUACAUAAGCAAACACUCCAAAUGGUUCAAGGUAUUUUGAAAAAAAAAUUAAACUUCAAGAACUUCAAACAAAACUUGGAAACUCUUUGUUAAGUCUCUAAACCUAAUUUCCAGUGUAUAGGAAAUGGAAGGGGUAAUGGAAUAAAUUAAGAUCAGGAGAAAACAAUCAGAUGGAUUCAGAUUUGGGGAAGAUAUAUGACAGUUUAUGACCAUAUACAUAUAGAGAUAGCAAUUAUCUUCAUAUAUAUGAUUCUCAAGUGUUCAGUGAUAAAAUGUUAGAAACAAGAGAAAAAUUGUUACCCAAUUAUUAUUAUUUUUCACAUUUUCUUGCGGAUUCUAGCCAAUGAAAUUAAGCAAGAAAAAAAAAUAAGAGACAAACAUGUUUAAAAGAAUAGAGAGAACAUAUUUAUUUAGGGGGGUUAUGCUAGAAGUGAGAAUCUCAGACUGAUUUCUUAAAGGCUUGCAUCUCUAGAAAGCUCUAUGGGAGUUGUCGUUGUGUUUCAGUGGUAAUGAAUCCUGCUAGUAUCCGUGAGGAUAUGGGUUCGAUCCUUGCCCUUUCUCGUGGUUAAGGAUCUGGCAUUUCCAUGAGCUGUGGUGUAGGCUGCAGGUACAGAUUGGAUCCCACAUUGCUGUGGCUGUUGUGUAAGCUGGCAGCUGCAGCUCUGAUUCGA